AUUGAACGCUAGCGGGAUGCUUUACACAUGCAAGUCGAACGGCAGCGCGGACUUCGGUCUGGCGGCGAGUGGCGAACGGGUGAGUAAUGUAUCGGAACGUGCCCAGUAGCGGGGGAUAACUACGCGAAAGCGUAGCUAAUACCGCAUACGCCCUACGGGGGAAAGCAGGGGAUCGUAAGACCUUGCACUAUUGGAGCGGCCGAUAUCGGAUUAGCUAGUUGGUGAGGUAACGGCUCACCAAGGCGACGAUCCAUAGCUGGUUUGAGAGGACGACCAGCCACACUGGGACUGAGACACGGCCCAGACUCCUACGGGAGGCAGCAGUGGGGAAUUUUGGACAAUGGGGGCAACCCUGAUCCAGCCAUCCCGCGUGUGCGAUGAAGGCCUUCGGGUUGUAAAGCACUUUUGGCAGGAAAGAAACGUCGCGGGCUAAUACCCCGUGGAACUGACGGUACCUGCAGAAUAAGCACCGGCUAACUACGUG
rnacentral:rRNA from 1 species